GACGAACGCUGGCGGCGUGCCUAAUACAUGCAAGUCGAACGCAGUGGGGACGGGUGAGUAACACGUGGGUAACCUCCCCAUCAGAGGGGAUAACACUUGGACACAGGCGCUAAACCGAUAUUGAUGGAUGGACCCGCGGUGCAUUAGCUAGUUGGUGAGUUAACGGCUCACCAAGGCAACGAUGCAUGGCCGCACUGAGCGGUGGAUCGGCCACACUGGAACUGGGACACGGCCCAGACUCCUACGGGAGGCAGCAGUGGGGAAUCUUCGGUAAUGGACGAAAGUCUGACCGAGCAACGCCGCGUGAGUGAAGAAGGUUUUCGGAUCGUAAAACUCUGUUGUUAGAGAAGCGGUAUCUAACCAGAAAGCCACGGCUAACUACGUGCCAGCAGCCGCGGUAAUUC
rnacentral:rRNA from 1 species